GAUGUAGAGACAAAUCUGUUUCUUUGUGUCCGUGACAAAGCUAGCCCAAGAAAAUUGCCAACGGCAUAUCCUAACAUGAGCUAUCACGUGACACAUUAAGAUUAUCUACGCAUCACCAACGCCGUUCGUAAAUUCUCCUUGAGACUCAAGACCCAAAACAUGUCCAAUCAUGGUUGUACCUUUUGCGAGAAAGAGGAUUCAACUUGGGAUGGCG
rnacentral:lncRNA from 1 species